rnacentral:rRNA from 1 species
UGGCGAACGGGUGAGUAACACGUGGGUAACCUGCCCAUCAGAAGGGGAUAACACUUGGAAACAGGUGCUAAUACCGUAUAACACUAUUUUCCGCAUGGAAGAAAGUUGAAAGGCGCUUUUGCGUCACUGAUGGAUGGACCCGCGGUGCAUUAGCUAGUUGGUGAGGUAACGGCUCACCAAGGCAACGAUGCAUAGCCGACCUGAGAGGGUGAUCGGCCACACUGGGACUGAGACACGGCCCAGACUCCUACGGGAGGCAGCAGUAGGGAAUCUUCGGCAAUGGACGAAAGUCUGACCGAGCAACGCCGCGUGAGUGAAGAAGGUUUUCGGAUCGUAAAACUCUGUUGUUAGAGAAGAACAAGGAUGAGAGUAAAACGUUCAUCCCUUGACGGUAUCUAACCAGAA